UACGGAGGGUGCAAGCGUUGUUCGGAAUCACUGGGCGUAAAGCGCGUGUAGGCGGUCUCUUAAGUCUGGUGUGAAAGCCCGGGGCUUACCCCCGGAAGGGCACUGGAGACUGGGAGACUAGAGUACCGGAGAGGAAGGUGGAAUUCCUGGUGUAGCGGUGAAAUGCGUAGAUAUCAGGAGGAACACCGGUGGCGAAGGCGGCCUUCUGGACGGCUACUGACGCUGAGACGCGAAAGCGUGGGGAGCAAACAGG
rnacentral:rRNA from 1 species